rnacentral:rRNA from 1 species
GCGAGCGAAGCGGGAAGAGCUCAAAUUUAUAAUCUGGCACCUUCGGUGUCCGAAUUGUAAUCUCUAGAAGUGUUUUCCGCGUUGGACCGCACACAAGUCUGUUGGAAUACAGCGGCAUAGUGGUGAGACCCCCGUAUAUGGUGCGGACGCCCAACGCUUUGUGAUACACUUUCGAAGAGUCGAGUUGUUUGGGAAUGCAGCUCAAAUUGGGUGGUAAAUUCCAUCUAAAGCUAAAUAUUGGCGAGAGACCGAUAGCGAACAAGUACCGUGAGGGAAAGAUGAAAAGCACUUUGGAAAGAGAGUUAACAGUACGUGAAAUUGUUGGAAGGGAAACGCUUGAAGUCAGACUUGCUUGCCGAGCAAUCGGUUUGCAGGCCAGCAUCAGUUUUCCGGGGUGGAUAAUGGUAGAGAGAAGGUAGCAGUUUCGGCUGUGUUAUAGCUCUCUGCUGGAUACACCUUGGGGGACUGAGGAACGCAGUGUGCCUUACGGCGGAUUUCUCGAGAUCUUCACACUUAGGAUGCUGGUGGAAUGGCUUUAAACGACCC